CAGCAGCCACGGGAAUACGAAGGGGGCUAGCGUUGCUCGGAAUCACUGGGCGUAAAGGGUGCGUAGGCGGGUUUUUAAGUCAGGGGUGAAAUCCUGGAGCUCAACUCCAGAACUGCCCUUGAUACUGGAGAUCUUGAGUCCGGGAGAGGUGAGUGGAACUGCGAGUGUAGAGGUGAAAUUCGUAGAUAUUCGCAAGAACACCAGUGGCGAAGGCGGCUCACUGGCCCGGUACUGACGCUGAGGCGCGAAAGCGUGGGGAGCAAACAGGAUUAGAGACCCGUGUAGUCCCUGUCUCUUAUAC
rnacentral:rRNA from 1 species